rnacentral:rRNA from 1 species
UACGAAGGGGGCUAGCGUUGCUCGGAAUCACUGGGCGUAAAGGGUGCGUAGGCGGGUCUUUAAGUCAGGGGUGAAAUCCUGGAGCUCAACUCCAGAACUGCCUUCGAUACUGAGAGUCUUGAGUCCGAGAGAGGCGAGUGGAACUGCGAGUGUAGAGGUGAAAUUCGUAGAUAUUCGCAAGAACACCAGUGGCGAAGGCGGCUCACUGGCUCGGUACUGACGCUGAGGUGCGAAAGCGUGGGGAGCAAACAGG